rnacentral:misc_RNA from 1 species
AACGCACAUUCGCGCCCCUCUGGUAUUCCGAGGGGCAUGCCUGUUCGAGCGUCAUUACUACCUUCAAGCACGGCUUGGUUGUUGAGCCAAUUGUCCUGUUGAUGGACAGGCUUAAAAUGUAGUGGCGAUGCCGAGUCCUGGUGCCCGAGCAUAUGGAGCCUGUCACGUGCUUUAGUGGCCCAGCCGGCAUUUUCGUCGAUUAAACUUUGAAAAAGAUUUGACCUCGGAUCAGGUAAGGAUACCCGCUGAACUUAA